rnacentral:rRNA from 1 species
UACGUAGGGAGCAAGCGUUGUCCGGAAUCAUUGGGCGUAAAGAGCGCGUAGGCGGUCCGGUAAGUCGGUUGUGAAAACUGGGGGCUCAACCCUCAGAGGCCGACCGAUACUGCCGGGCUAGAGUCCGGAAGAGGCGAGUGGAAUUCCUGGUGUAGCGGUGAAAUGCGCAGAUAUCAGGAGGAACACCGAUGGCGAAGGCAGCUCGCUGGGACGGUACUGACGCUGAGACGCGAAAGCGUGGGGAGCGAACAGG